rnacentral:lncRNA from 1 species
GAUUGGUCAACCCUGCGCGCCUCCGCCGUACUGGAUUUGGGAGGGGGGGGGAUCUGGCGACACAGAUGCUAGAUACGACGCCCCCAUGGAUUGGUCAACCCCGCGUGCCUCCGCCGUACUGGAUUUUGGAGGGAGAGAACAUGAGCUGAGGAUGUGAGGGAGGGUUGUGAGGAGGAGGAGAUGGAGUGGACGGACGCACCUGAGUCACCGGGGCCAAUCCUACCGAAACCCUAGUAACAAGAGACGGUCGCGGAUAGCAUUGGAGGACACGCGUGCUGGAUCUCCCAUGAUAGGAGGGAGUAGCAGAGUGAGGGGAUCCAUGUGGUGUGCGUGGCACCAUCGAUUCCGGCCGGUAGGUCGCGUGGAUCGAGCGUCGUUGAUGGUGGCGGCGAUGAGAAGAGUUGUUCGGGAGAGAGAUGUCGAGUUGUGGACGAGGGAGGAGGAGUGCGAGGCUGUGGGUUGGAUGAGAGGG